UACGUAGGGGGCAAGCGUUGUCCGGAAUCAUUGGGCGUAAAGCGCGUGUAGGCGGCUCGAUAAGUCUGCUGUGAAAGUCCAGGGCUCAACCCUGGGAUGCCGGUGGAUACUGUCGAGCUCGAGUCCGGAAGAGGCGAGUGGAAUUCCUGGUGUAGCGGUGAAAUGCGCAGAUAUCAGGAGGAACACCAAUGGCGAAGGCAGCUCGCUGGGACGUGACUGGACGCUGGAGACGCGAAAGCGUGGGGAGCAAACAGG
rnacentral:rRNA from 1 species